rnacentral:rRNA from 1 species
UAGUUGGUUGAAGUGCGUAGGUGUUGAUCCGGUAGGCAAAUCCGCCGGUGAACUGAAACACGAUAGUACACUGAUCCUUUCGGGGUGAUGUGAUAGUGAUUCCAAGCAUACUUCCAAGAAAAACCUCUAAGCUUCAGAUAUGUACAGCCCGUACCGCAAACCGACACAGGUAUUCGAGGAGAGUAUCCUCAGGCGCUCGAGUGAGUCAUGGCUAAGGAACUAGGCAAAUUAGUCUCGUAACUUCGGGAAAAGAGACCCCCUGAGCAAUCAGGGGCGCAGAGAAAUGGCCCAGGCGACUGUUUAACAAAAACACAGGACUCUGCAAAAUCGAAAGAUGACGUAUAGGGUCUGACACCUGCCCGGUGCUGGAAGGUUAAGGAAGGAGCUCAGCGCAAGCAAAGGUUCUGACUGAAGCCCCAGUAAACGGCGGCCGUAACAAUAACGGUCCUAAGGUAGCGAAAUUCCUUGUCGGGUAAGUUCCGACCUGCACGAAUGGUGUAACGAUCUGGGCACUGUCUCAGCCAUGAGCUCGGUGAAAUUGAAGUAUCGGUGAAGAUGCCGGUUACCCGCCACGGGACGAAAAGACCCCGUGCACCUUUACUACAACUUCACAUUGUGCUUGAAUAUAAAAUGUGUAGGAUAGGUGGGAGACUUUGAAGCGGUCACGCUAGUGGUCGUGGAGUCGUCCUUGAAAUACCACCCUUUUUAUAUUUAGGUUCUAACCCUAUACCCAUAGGGGACAGUGUGUGGUGGGUAGUUUGACUGGGGUGGUCGCCUCCUAAAGAGUAACGGAGGCUUGCAAAGGUGCCCUCAGCAUGGUCGGUAAUCAUGCGAAGAGCGUAUUAGUAUAAGGGCGCUUGACUGAGAGACGGACAGGUCGACCAGGUACGAAAGUAGGCUAAAGUGAUCCGGUGGUUCCGCAUGGAAGGGCCAUCGCUCAAAGGAUAAAAGGUACGCCGGGGAUAACAGGCUGAUCUCCCCCAAGAGCUCAUAUCGACGGGGAGGUUUGGCACCUCGAUGUCGGUUCGUCACAUCCUGGGGCUGGAGAAGGUCCCAAGGGUUCGGCUGUUCGCCGAUUAAAGUGGCACGUGAACUGGGUUCAGAACGUCGCAAGACAAUUCGGUCUCUAUCUGUGGUGGGCGUUGUAACAUUGAAGGGAACUGACUCUAGUACGAGAGGACCGAGUCGGACGUACCGCUAGUGUAUCUGUUGUGCCGCCAGGUGCAGCGCAGAGUAGCUAUGUACGGACUAGAUAAGCGCUGAAAGCAUCUAAGCGCGAAGCUAUCCUUAAGAUGAGUGUUACUGGGGUCGUAGAAGACGACUACGUUGAUAGGCUAUAGGUGAAAUCAUAGUAAUAUGUUCAGCCGAGUAGUACUAAUUACCCCUAAACUUCCUCA